UCUUUUUUUUACAUCAUAACAUCAUCAUUAAAACAACAUCAAACAUCAUCAUCAAAACAACAUCAAAUCUCACAACAUCAUCGUCAAACAACAUCAUCAAAACAACAUUAGGAUUAUUCAUUUUUCUUCGUCUUCAACAUCAAAACAAAUCUCCAGUCCCUGAAAUCUGCAAAUCAUCAUCAUCGUCACUCUCUCUGUAGAACCCAAUUAGCGUAGCAGUGUGCGUAAUAAGAGCUCUACUCGGGUAAUUUGACGUUGUCUCCCGCGUUUCGUACUCCCAAGUUCAUACCCACAAUACGCACAUUAUAUACAUGGUGUAUGUAUAUAUAUAUGCACAGAGAGAGAGAGAGAAAAAGUCAUAGAAAACCCUCAUGCGAAGCAAACCCGCCUCACCCACUACUUUUAAACAAUACCCAAAAAGCGAAAUGCUCAAUCUGAUGGACCAUUUUGGUGAUUGUACGAUUCCCAAUUCUACAUUCGAACCCUAGAAAUAAAGAUCGUCCUUUCUUCGAUUUCAUCUGAUUCUUUAUUACAGUGACUAUUUUUUAUCACUGUUAAUGUUGAGUUCAUCAAACUAUAUACAUAUAUAGACUUAACCCUUGUUAGUGUGGCACUGAUUUUCAAGUCCUUGUCAAUCGAUCUUCAACGAUGAAUUUGAUGGCGCAGCAUGAAUGAUGUUGGAGAAUAAUGUUUGAUGAAUGAUGUUUGAUGAAUAAUGUUGAAGAUGUAGUUGAUGUUGGUGAUGUUUGAAGUCUCAUUUUGCUCCUUAGUUUGAUGUUUAAUCGUUAUUUAAAAAAUUGUUUAAUCGUUAUUUUUGAUGUUAUUUUAUGAUAAUGUUGUGAUGUUUGAUGUUGUUUUGAUGA